rnacentral:rRNA from 1 species
UACGUAGGGUGCGAGCGUUGUCCGGAAUUAUUGGGCGUAAAGAGCUCGUAGGCGGUGUGUCGCGUCGGCCGUGAAAACCUGGGGCUCAACUCUGGGCGUGCGGUCGAUACGGGCAUCACUUGAGUUCGGCAGGGGAGACUGGAAUUCCUGGUGUAGCGGUGAAAUGCGCAGAUAUCAGGAGGAACACCGGUGGCGAAGGCGGCUUCCUGGUCUGCGACUGACGCUGUGGCGCGAAAGCUAGGGGAGCAAACGGG